UUGGAGGGCAAGUCUGGUGCCAGCAGCCGCGGUAAUUCCAGCUCCAAUAGCGUAUAUUAAAGUUGUUGAGGUUAAAAAGCUCGUAGUUGAACCUUGGGCCUAGCCGGCCGGUCCGCCUCACCGCGUGCACUGGCUCGGCUGGGUCUUUCCUUCUGGAGAACCGCAUGCCCUUCACUGGGUGUGUCGGGGAACCAGGACUUUUACUCUGAACAAAUUAGAUCGCUUAAAGAAGGCCUAUGCUCGAAUACAUUAGCAUGGAAUAAUAGAAUAGGACGUGUGGUUCUAUUUUGUUGGUUUCUAGGACCGCCGUAAUGAUUAAUAGGGACAGUCGGGGGCAUCAGUAUUCAAUUGUCAGAGGUGAAAUUCUUGGAUUUAUUGAAGACUAACUACUGCGAAAGCAUUUGCCAAGGAUGUUUUCAUUAAUCAGGAACGAAAGUUAGGGGAUCGAAGACGAUCAGAUACCGUCGUAGUCUUAACCAUAAACUAUGCCGAUUAGGGAUCGGACGGCGUUAUUUUUUGACCCGUUCGGCGCCUUACGGGAAAC
rnacentral:rRNA from 1 species